UCUAAAUGCAUACUCCAAAAUAGCGAAAAUACAAAGUGAAAUUAUA
rnacentral:misc_RNA from 1 species